UAGCCUACGGGGCGCAGCAGUGGGGAAUAUUGCACAAUGGGGGAAACCCUGAUGCAGCGACGCCGCGUGAGCGAUGAAGUAUUUCGGUAUGUAAAGCUCUGUCAGCAGGGAAGAAAGAAAUGACGGUACCUGACCAAGAAGCCCCGGCUAACUACGUGCCAGCAGCCGCGGUAAUACGUAGGGGGCAAGCGUUAUCCGGAAUUACUGGGUGUAAAGGGAGCGUAGACGGUUAAGUAAGUCUGGAGUGAAAGGCCGGGGCCCAACCCCGGGCCUGCUCUGGAAACUAUUGAACUUGAGUGCAGGAG
rnacentral:rRNA from 1 species